rnacentral:misc_RNA from 1 species
UCCGAGUUGACCCCGGCAGUCUCCUACGAGUCCCCGGCAUUACCCGCUGGCAACUAAGAGCAGGGGUUGCGCUCGUUGCGGCACUUAAGCCAACACCUCACGGCACGAGCUGACGACAGCCAUGCAGCACCUGUGCUAGCCCCUUGCGGACACGUGCUUUCACACGCUUUAACUAGCAUGUCAAGCCUAGGUAAGGUUCUUCGCGUUGCAUCGAAUUAAACCACAUACUCCACCGCUUGUGCGGGCCCCCGUCAAUUUCUUUGAGUUUUAAUCUUGCGACCGUACUCCCCAGGCGGGAUACUUACCGUGUUAACUUCGGCACAGCAGGGGUCGAUACCCGCUACACCAAGCACUCAUCGUUUACGGCGUGGACUAC